UUGAAUUUUAAUGAAGAGUUUGGUUGUAGCUGGCCCAUUCAUUUGGGCAUGUGCACACCUUCCUCUUUCAUCCCACACGCACCUGUGAACCUGUGAGACAGAGAUGGGGAAUUUACUUGCUGCUUUUUGGAAUACAAAGGCAAUAGGUUAUUGGACCCCCCCUCUGUCUACUCAAUUAAUAUAAACUCAAUUUAUUUUAAAACGAAUGUAAUGGAUGUAACACAUCUCAUAC
rnacentral:misc_RNA from 1 species